rnacentral:rRNA from 1 species
GUGGGGAAUAUUGGACAAUGGGCGAAAGCCUGAUCCAGCCAUGCCGCGUGUGUGAAGAAGGUCUUCGGAUUGUAAAGCACUUUAAGUUGGGAGGAAGGGCAGUAAGUUAAUACCUUGCUGUUUUGACGUUACCAACAGAAUAAGCACCGGCUAACUUCGUGCCAGCAGCCGCGGUAAUACGAAGGGUGCAAGCGUUAAUCGGAAUUACUGGGCGUAAAGCGCGCGUAGGUGGUUCAGCAAGUUGGAGGUGAAAUCCCCGGGCUCAACCUGGGAACUGCCUACAAAACUACUGAGCUAGAGUACGGUAGAGGGUAGUGGAAUUUCCUGUGUAGCGGUGAAAUGCGUAGAUAUAGGAAGGAACACCAGUGGCGAAGGCGACUACCUGGACUGAUACUGACACUGAGGUGCGAAAGCGUGGGGAGCAAACAGGAUUAGAAACCCUGGUAGUCC